UGAGGGAUGAGGAGAUUUGACUCCUAAUCAGAGACAGGGAACAAAUCAAUAGACAGCUGUCCAAUACCUGGAAUUGCUAGUAAGGUUCCACUACUCCAUUAAUGACGGACAGUUGGAUUCACUGAUUAUGUGGACCUUCAUGACUUUUGGGGAGAAAGCUUUGCAAAAAUGCAUGCAACUAUUUUCUUGAAAAGAUGAAAUUGCUCAUGAAGGAGAUCAUUAAUGAGGAGGAUAAGGAGACAAAGGAAAUUGCAAUCAAUGUGACCUCAUUCUCUGCAUAUAAAAUCAAUGUAAUUAAAGCGAUCACCAGAGUGUUUACUGUAUGUCAGGCAUGACUCUAAACAUCUUUCAUGUCUUUAGCUUAUUUAAUCCUCACAAUAACCCUACAGGGUAGAAAUAGUUUUCUUUGGUUUAUUAGUAUAUUUAGAAAUAGUUUCAUAGAGAUUAAAGACUGUCCAAAUUCACACAGGGCCAAGAGCCAUCACUGAGUUGGCCUGACACCAGUGGCCAAAUUCUAACCACUUUGCUCUAGUGUCUCUGCUAGGCUGGAGAAGGUGAUAGUUAACUUCUCCUUAUAGGUCUUGAUGGGAAGGGAACAGAAAGAGACAGAACCUACCUAACAGUUGCUGAACUCCAAGUACCAUCAAGACUUUGUUUAUCUUAAACUCCUUAAGCAUUAUUUCUUCGUUUUACAAAUGAGGGAAAUCAGAAUUCAGAAGGUAAGUGAUUUUUUUUCAGUGCCACUCUGUUGGCAAGUGUGGAACUCAGCUUUGGAUCAGCCUGUGCUUCUUGCCACCUUGGAAGUUUUAAAUAGGUGAUCCUUUUUGUUCCUUAAGCUGAUCCGUGGCAAAGAUUGAAUUCUAUGCGCAUUUCCUUUUGAUAAACAGCUUAUGUCUUGGAACCCUAUUUUGGUAGGCUUAAGAAAAUAUUGGAUGUAAAAAAAUGAUUUAAUGGAAAUUUGAGUGAUAGGGUAGAACAAAAUGUCACUCACUGGCUCGAGGUUGAAAGGUUGUGUUUUUCAGGGUUUUCUGUCCUUAAAUCUUAUCAACUAGCUAUAUGGGGAGGUCUGACAGCCACUGUCUCUUCCUGGGGUUUACUUUAUACAGUGGAAGAGCUGGAUGACAUGGUCUCUAUGUCCUUUACAACCAUAGACUUUAGUGAUGGUUUCAAGGCCAAAUCGCAUACAGUUUAAGUUUUGGAAAGACCCUUGAGAGCAUCAGUUCCAUUCCCAAUUCCUCCACAUCUUUGCAGAUGUAACACAGGGUCUCCCAUCUCUUGGCUUCUUACCACAGUCUCUUAGUUUGUCUUUAAUUUCUUUCUUUCUUUCUUUUUUUUUUUUUUUUUUAUUUUUUUUUUUUUUUUUUGCUUUUUUUGCUUUUUCUAGGGCUGCACCCAUGGCCUACGGAGGUUCCCAGGCUAGGGGUCUAAUCCGAGCUGUAGCCACCUGCCUACACCAGAGCCACAGCAACAUGGGAUCUGAGCCGCGUCUCCGACCUACACUACAGCUCAUGGCAACGCUGGGACCUUAACCCACUGAGCAAGGGCAGGGAUCGAACUCGCAACCUCAUGGUUCCUAAUCGGAUUCGUUAAUCACUGAGCCACGACGGGAACUCCUCUUUAAUUUAUUUCAAUGGGCACAACCAUGGCAUGUGGAAGUUUCCAGGCCAGGGACUGAAUCGGAGCCACAGCUGUGACCUACACCAGUGCUAUGGCAAUGCUGGAUCCUUUAACCCUCUGUGUCAGGCCAGGGAUCUAACCUGUGCCUCUGUAGCUACCCAAGUUACUACAGUCAGAUUCUCAACCCACUGUACCACAGCAGGAACUCCUCUUAGUUUGUCUUUAUUUAUUUAUUUUUGUCCUUUUUUUAAGGGCCGUAUGUACAGCAUAUGGAGGUUCCCAGGCUAGGGGUCGAAUCAGAGCUGUAGCCGCUGGCUUACACCACAGCCACAGCAAUAGCAACGCCACAUCCAAGCUGCGUCUGCGACCCACAGCUCACAGCAACACCAGAUCCUUAACACACCGAGUUAGAGAUCGAACUUGCAACCUCAUGGUUCCUGGUCAGAUUCGUUUCCAUUGAGCCAUGACAGGAACUACUAUUUAUUUUCAGUUCAGGAAGAAAAUUAUCAGUGGCUUUAGAUUUUUCUGCAAAUGUUAAACUGAUUUCUUAUCUUUGUGAUUGGUAAGACUCUACAACUUUGCACUACUUUUUAUCUUUUGGGUCUCCUACCCAUAUUUUGUCAUCUCUGAUUUUCCUCCUUGUUAACAAGUGUUAUUUGAGUCUAUAGUCACAAUUUUAACUUUCAUUUUACUCCAUUUUCCAAUAAGAUCUUUCCCCAUCAAGGAAUCAAUCUGCUGAUUGUGUCUGAUUCCCCUGUUGAAUCUCCCCUCCCCCACCUUCUCUAAUAGCAUUUCGAACCAUAUUUUUUUUCCAGUUUCAUGUGAAUCAUGUUAUGUUUUUGUCAUUACUUAGAAAAUAUGUAAGCAUUGGCUCAUUAUUCUCUUUAAUUUUUAAUAGCCAUCGGGGUCAACCCCAACUUCACAAGCAAAGAAGUGCCUAAGUGCCUCCAUAGCAACCACCAAUUUGCUCAUGCUUUUCUAAGUUGGCUGACACUUGGCUCUUUGGCCUUUAGGCUAGAGUAUUAUGACAAAAAUGUUUUAAAUGUUACUGUUUCAAAGCUUUUCUUUUUCUUUUUGGCCAUGCCUUGCAGCAUGCCAAAGUUCCUAGGCCAGGAUUUGAACCUGAGCCACAGCCACAAUGCUGUAUCCUUAUCUGCUAGGCCACCAAAGCUUAUUUAUUUAUUUAUUUGUCUUUUCAUCUUUUUAGAGCCGCCUCUGUGGCAUAUGGAGUUUCCCAGGCUAGGGGUCUAAUCAGAGCUGUGGCUGCUGGCCUAUGCCACAGCCACAAAAAUGCCAGAUCCAAGCCUUGUCUGCGACCUACACCACAGCUCAUGGCAAUGCCGAGUCCUUAACCCAUUGAGCGAGGCCAGGGAUUGAACCCUGCAAUCUCAUGGUUCCUAAUCGGAUUCGUUUCCGCUGUGCCACGGUGGGAACUCCCAAAGCCUAUUUUAAAAAUGUAUUCAUUCUGUAGUAGAAGGAAGAACUAGACUUGGGUUUGAGCCUCAUCUGGAUCAGUCACUAGUUUUGUUACCCUGGGUACCUCACUUCACUUUUGCAGUCCUGAAUUUCCCCACAUUUAAAAUGGGGUAACAGGAGUUCCCGUAGUGGUGCAGUGGAAACAAAUCCGACUGGUAUCCAUGAGGAUGCGGGUUUGAUCCUUGGCCUUGCUCAGUGUGUUAAGGAUCUGGCAUUGCUGUGAGCUGUGGUGUAGGUCACAGACAUGGCUCAGAUUCUGGCCCUUCUCUGCCUUCCUGGUGCUGUACAGUGGGACCUCGUUGCUUAUCCCUCCUGUUUUUUUUUUUUUUUAAUUUUUAUUUCUUUUUUUGUCUUUUUAGGGCCACACCCAUGGCAUAUGGAGGUUCCCAGGCUAGGGGUUGAAUCGGAGCUGUAGCUGCCUGCCUAUACCACAGCCACAGCCACACCAGAUCCAAGCUGCGUCUGCAACCUACACCAUAGCUCUUGGCAAUGCCUAAGCCCCAACCCACUGAGCAAGGCCAGGGAUCGAACCCUCAUGGUUACUAGUCUGGUCUGUUAACCUCUGAGCCACAACAGGAAUUCCUUAACCAUUCGAACUGUAAUAGUUUGCAUCUAGUUAUCCCAAACUUCCAGUUCAUCCCUCCCCCUCCCCCGUGGCAACCACAGGUCAGUUCUUUAUGUCUGUCAUUCUUAUUUGGUGAACCUGCUUAGUGAGAUUGCUUUAGAUGGACUUAGGUGAACAUUAGCAAAAUUUUCAUUUACUUUUUCCUGGAUGGUGUGGGGAGGCUGCUUCGGAUACUGAAUUAAGGAAACAAAAUCCCUCCUUAGGUUUACUUUAAGUCAGUGUUUCUCAGCCUCUGCUGGGUAUUAAAAUCUCCUGGGAAGCUGUUAGAUCCUACUGAUACCUGGGACCUACUUCAGUCCAGUUAAGUUGCAAUUCCUGGGGGUGGAACCUGCACAUUGGAUAAAAAAAAAAAAAGUGAAGAUCAUGGUUGAUUCUAAUUUGUAGCCAGGCCUGAGGACUACUGGCUUAAGUUAACAUUUCACUACAUUGAAAAUGAGAUUCUAGCAGGAUAAAGCAAUCAGCACAGGUGCUAAGUCAGCCUGCUAAGCAAUCUACGAUAUCAAAACAAGUAAUCAUCCAUAGGAGGUAAAGAAAAGAACUCUAAUCAUCAUUAGGAAGGGCCACUGGGAUCCAUACCUCAGGUUGUUGUUCCGGAACUUGAGAAAUGAAUGAGCUCUCAGUUUCUUUCAGUUCUGGCAUUGGAGUCUCUUAUUAGUUCAGAUUUUCAAAAAUAAGAAGAGGGAAAAUAAACGAGGAAACUGUUGGGACUGAUGCUUUGGAAUUUUCCCAUGCUUUCAUAUUUGUGAAGCAAAGUGUUUGAACAGGAAUGGCAAGUCUGCAUAUUGAUAGAACUGCCAUCUGAGAAGAAGCCUGUGUAUGUGGGCGUGUGCUAGGGGCUGGGGAUACACUGAAACCCACUCCUGACCAAGAGGAAUUUGUGUUCUAGAAAGACUGGAGUGGCCUUAAAGUGAUGGAAUGGAAUCUUCCUACAUUUAAAACCUAAUUCCUCAUUUAAAGUCCCAUCUUUUGGUGAAAAGGAUGUUACAGUUAAGCACAGUAGGAAGCCCUAAAUGCUAAAUGAGGGUUAUACACCUCAAAUCAUACGUGUGGUUGCCUGGGGGGAGGGAGAGGGAGUGG
rnacentral:lncRNA from 1 species